ensembl:lncRNA
GUUACAGCCCUGUUGAAUCUGCUGUGUGUCCUGCUGCUCUUUCUAACUCACUCAGAUAAUACUUCUCCUGACUCCACUCAGCAAUCAGCACUGAGGGCAAAGCUGAGCUCUGACUACAGAGAGCUCAGAGAUUUCCACUGUUCACAUACUGAAGCAGGAGUUGCCCAGCCAUGAAGAGAGGGGUUCUCCGGAGGUGAAUGUCACACCAAAGCUGAAAGUUUCAACUGAGCUCCUCGAGAUCCUGAAUGAUUUAGAUGAUGUGGACUUUGACACCUUUAAGUGGCACCUCAAGUCUGAAUCGAAGAAAAACAUCAAGCCCAUCCAACAGAGCAGGCUGACGAAGGCAGAGCGGCAUGCAAUGGUGGAUCUCAUGGUGAAGAAGUAUGAGAUAAGUGGAGCUGUAGAAGUGAUGGAGAGCGUUUUAAUGAAGAUCAGCAGGAAUGACCUGGUGGAAAAGUUGAGACUCUUAACUGAGGAUGCAUAAAUCUGACAUUUAGAUCAGAUAUCGACCAAAUCCUGAGUAGAACAUCUGAAUUUAAUCUUGGUAACAAAACAAAUUUAAGACCAGUCCAUUCAGUUAAAUCCCAUUCAGGCAUUUAUUGGACAGAUGGUAAGAUAAUGUGUUCUGGCUCUUAAUUUUGCUUAAUUUUUACUGUGUGCAGAGAGAGGUGCACUCAGUGACAUCUGCCUGUCAAAUUUGCUUUGUUUUGUUUGUGUGCGCAGUGCUG